GGGCCAUAGCUCAGUGGUACAGCAUCUGCCUUGCAAGCAGAAGUUUCUAGGUUCAAUCCCCACGGGCAUCU